GUACAACCCAUACUCUAAUAUCAUUUGUAACUUGCCAUUCAUGCCACCAACUAGGUGAAGAAGGAACUCAUCCUCGUGCCACCAACCAGGUGAUGAAAUGUGAUGAAAGGUGAUGAAAGGUGAUGAAGGAACUCACAUUCGUACCACCAACCAAGUGAUGAAAGCAACUCACCAUUCAUUCUACCUACCAGAAGACGAGUGGUACAACUUGUACAUGUGAACUCCUAGCAUUCACAAAUAAUCAAAAACCCUCA
rnacentral:lncRNA from 1 species